ACCUUUAAAAGGGCUGUCCAGCUUGUGGAGGCGGCGGGUCAGGACGUAAAGACGUGCUUGAAGCUGGCACUUUCAGCGUUUAAAUUCUUCCCUGCAAUUGUCUACUGGGAUGAGAACAGAAACGCCAAAGCUAAGUGGAAUAAGAAAGAUUACAUAGAGCUCUAUGGAGAAAAUGAGAUGCUUUCCACCGAAGCCCAGGCAGCGACAUUCAUGGGGGACAUAUGUGCGGGGAUGGAGAGAGCCAAUCUAACUUAGUGGUGGCUGGUGCUUAUGGAUCUCAAAGAUAUUGUAGAACUUGUGGUAUCACCAGUUCACACUGAUGAGUCAAUUGCAUACCUUGAUGGCAAAAUUUCUGAACACCGACAGAGGUUUCAGGAAGUUUUUCCAGAUGUGAAGUUAAUUACAAAACAGCACUUCUUGGAACACUAUCCUGAACUUAUCAAGUCAUAUGGUCCACUUGUGCAUCUGUGGACUAUGCGCUUCGAAUCCAAACAUAGCUUUUUCAAGCAAGUUGCUCGGCUUACCAAUUGUUUCAAAAAUAUCCCCCUUACACUUGCAGCUAAGCACCAGCUAAUGAUUUUGCACAGUUUGAAAUCGUACCAUCCUGAAAAAUCUGUACUAGAUGUAUCAACUGUGUCAACAGUGGCUCUGACUGUUUUGAGAACAGAAAUAACAGGUCAUCCAAGACAAGUACCCAGGCACUGAAUUCAUCCAGAUCACCACAAGUGCCACCAGUAAAGGCGUCAGUUACAGAAAUGGGAUGAUUGUUGUUUGUCGCUCUUUAGACGGGCUCCCUGAAUUUGCAGAGAUAAUUCAGAUGUGUAUAGUGCAGAAGGGACUGUGUUUUGUACUUAAAGGUCUGUGUGGUUGGUAUAGGGAGCAUUUUAGGGCCUUUGAACUGACCUCUUCUCCAUCACGGGAGAUUUUCUUUCUUGAACUAAGUGAAUUAGCUGAUGGCUAUUCACUGGCUGACUACAAGGUUGGAGGUCUUCGUUUGGUGCCACUGAAAAGACAAAUUCAUUCAUAACAGGAUUGUAAAUGUGACCUCGACCAUCAUCCUGCGUGUAAUUCUGGGAGAGAACGAUGCACAAAAAGUGAAACUUCAGAAUGGUGUUCCUUGUUCUUUGGCAGAAUUAAAGAAUGAGAUACAGACACAGUGUAAUUUGUUGGGAGAAUUCAGACUUCAAAUCAUGGACCCUGACUUUAAUGAAUUUGUGAACCUGACUUCCACAACUGAUGUUCAGAACAAAAGCACCCUUAAGGUCAUGAAACUCUGCGACUCUUUAGCAGUAUCUCCAUCUCUAUCAUCAUGUGACACAGACAUUCUGUCUUCAAGAUCAUCCUCUGAAGCAUCAUCUUCUUCAUCCCUUGACUCCCAAGAGUUGACUUUGAAUACAAGGUCUUCUUGGCCAACAUGUUUUGUUGUGCCCCGUUUCUCCUAUGAUGCAGAAAUUAAGCUGGAACAAGGCAAUUCUGAAUACCAAAAAAAAGGCUCUCUUCUGAAUCCAGACCCAAAGCUGAAAUCAGACAUUUUGGAUGGACUUGCUGAAGAAAUAGUAAAAUUCAAAGUGUACCUCUCUGAUGCUGAAUUCAAUGAAGUGGCAGAAGCCCUUAUAAAACGGCAUCCUUGCCUUAAGGAACAGGGAUCCUUAACAGGCUGCUGUGGCUGGAAAAGAAGCCUUAAAUAUAAAAUGUCAAAUUACAGAACCAGCUUAAAUUAAGGGCAGUUGGACUUGACAGUGACCCUUACAGCUUUCCAAAAAAUCAGUGGUCCGUGGACAUUCAGAUGUGGCCAGGAAUCGAGUUUCCUGACAUUUAUAUGUACCUGAUUUCAAAGCCGGGACAAUACACAAGACAAAGUCUGAAGGCAUAUAAAAGCCUUGACGCUUGGUCAUACUUCAAGGCGGGAUUUGUUGGCGAAAUGAAAGUGACCAGGACACCUACAGGUAUUAUGGUCAUCUGUGGACAGGUGGGGCAUCCAGGAAGAGACCAAGGCAAAGGAGGAAUACAUUGAGAUCAUGUCACCCAGACACAUAAAUUUUAAUGUAACCCCCACUGGGCUCUACAUUUCUCCGCAACACCCUCAUCUUGGUGCGUCACAUGAUGGGAAGGUGACUUGUGACUGUUGUGGCUGUGGGUGCUUGGAAAUCAAAUGCCCUUUCUUGGCUAAAGACAAGACACUGUUAGAACUGUCAAAAGAAAAAGACUUCUGCUUGGUUGCAUCCUGUUCCUCCGAUGGCACACUGGAACUUAACAGACAACACAACUAUUACUUUCAAGUACAGUGCCAGAUUCAUGUUACAAAAUCCUCAUACUGUGACUUUUGUGUGUGGACACCUUCGGAAUUAUUUAUUGAGAGAAUAACCCCAGAUUCAAAUUUUGAAAAACAUGUUAUGAAGGCAACAACAUUUUCCUAACCCUAACCCUUCAUGUAUGAACUAAUACAUUAACCCUACAGACUCUUAAUUAGUUCCUA